rnacentral:rRNA from 1 species
AGAGCGAACGCUGGCGGCGUGCUUAACACAUGCAAGUCGAGUGCGCAGCUUUCUGUAGCAAUACAGGAAGCCGGCGCACGGCGCACGGGUGCGUAACACGUGGGUAACCUGCCCUCCAAAGGGGGAUAACCCCGCGAAAGCGGGGCUAAUACCGCAUGACAUUCCGAGUACUUCGGUGUUCGGAAUCAAAGCUCGAAAGGGCGUUGGAGGAGGGGCCCGCGGCCGAUUAGCUUGUUGGCGAGGUAACGGCUCACCAAGGCAAUGAUCGGUAGCCGGUCUGAGAGGAUGGCCGGCCACACUGGAACUGAGACACGGUCCAGACUCCUACGGGAGGCAGCAGUGGGGAAUCUUGCGCAAUGGGCGAAAGCCUGACGCAGCGACGCCGCGUGGGGAUGAAGCUUCUCGGAGUGUAAACCCUUUCGACCCGGACGAAACGCCCGUAAGGGCUUGACGGUACGGUAUAAGAAGCCCGGCUAACUACGCGCCAGCAGCCGCGGU